rnacentral:rRNA from 1 species
AGUGCUGAAAGCUAACGCAUUAGCACCUCCGCCUGGGGGAGUACGGUCGCAGGCUGAAACUCAAAGGAAAUUGACGGGGACCCGCACAAGCGGUUGGAGCAUGUGGUUUAAUUCGAAGCAACGCGAAGAACCUUACCAACUCUUGACAUCCCCCUGACCGGUACAGAGAUGUACCUUCCCCUUCGGGGGCAGGGGUGACAGGUGGUGCAUGGUUGUCGUCAGCUCGUGUCGUGAGAUGUUGGGUUAAGUCCCGCAACGAGCGCAACCCUUGUCCUUAGUUGCCAGCAUUUGGUUGGGCACUCUAGGGAGACUGCCGGUGACAAACCGGAGGAAGGUGGGGAUGACGUCAAAUCAUCAUGCCCCUUAUGAGUUGGGCUACACACGUGCUACAAUGGACGGUACAAAGGGCAGCGAAGCCGCGAGGUGGAGCCAAUCCCAGAAAGCCGUUCUCAGUUCGGAUUGCAGGCUGCAACUCGCCUGCAUGAAGUCGGAAUCGCUAGUAAUCGCAGGUCAGCAUACUGCGGUGAAUACGUUCCCGGGUCUUGUACACACCGCCCGUCACACCACGAGAGUUUGCAACACCCGAAGUCGGUGAGGUAACCGUAAGG